GAAUGUAAGUUUUAGACAAAUAUGGUGGCUUUUGCAUAUUUAAAAAAAUGCAGUUUCAACAUGAUUGUUUCUCUAGUGGGUAGAUAAAGAACAACAGUGAAGUAUUCAAGAUGCAAAAUUCGGACCUCUUCCAAACAGUUAUCAAAAACAGUGAGGGCUGGAAGUUGAAAGAAAGGAAAAUAUACGAGCAGAGUGACAGUUUUGGGCAAUGCCAUAAAUGACACUAUGACUUAAUUAACUCCCCUUUCUAAGCAAGUCUUCGUUUUUCACAGGAGUUUGAAAUAUUACCCAGGAAGACAAGCCAAUGAUUUUGGCUGUGAGAAUCUUAUACCAUAAAAUGUUAAGAUGAACAUACUGUGAACCAAGCAAGGAGCUAGAAAUUAGAAAUCAUUGCCUUAAACCAGGGGAAUUUGUGGACUAUUUCUGCUGGCACUCAGUGACCUAAAGGAAUUGACCCACAGAGCAGUUUCCUUCACUCUCCACAGUUAGAAAUGACUGAGAAACAAGAUGAAUAACAAGGGCACACAGUUACUGACAAGAAGAUGGCAAACAGCUGAACACUGGCUAGAAUACUAUGCUGAAAAAAGAUCGGAAGGAUUAUGAAGACCCACAUCAUCUGCCAUCUGUUUUAGAAAUGCAGCCCAUGUCAUCCUGACAUCUAAAUGAUGAAGUUCAUAUCACCUCAUUCUCACAUCUGCCUGCUGAAACAUAAGAAAAGCUUUAUUUUGAUGUAUCUCAGUAUCAUGUGUAAAUGUAGUUCUUUUAAGCCCCCUUUCUGGAUAAAUUCUGACCUAUCAAAAAUGCCUAACUCUAUCUUUUUGCUUUUUCUCUGAAGGAAAUAGUUUGGCAACUUCAUUGCUCACCAUUGAAUGCAAAUUGUAGCAUUUCAUAAAUUUGCAUUCCAAGGAACGGGACAGUGAUUAAUAAAAAGAAUGGGAAGUCUGGAAAUCUUAGAGGGUUGUUCUUGAAAUAAGAACAAUCCUUCCAUGCUUCCUUCCUCAAUUUAAGAUUUUGUGAUGCUCUCUGAUGAGCAAAAAAACCAAAAACCACCUUACCAGGUCUGACAGAGUUACUCAGAAGGGAUUAUUUUGUGUUAUUUUUAAUGCCGUAACUUAAUUAUUUUAUUUAAAUGCUAAUUGAUUAUCCUAGCACAACCCUCUAGUGGCAGAAUCAAUUUCAGUAAUGAUGUUGAUGGCUGCAAUAUGAUCAACUGAAGCCUCCACCACUAAGGAGUGGAAAUGAUAGAUAGCUCAUUAAUCAUUUAUUCCGGAGAUGAAUGUGUUCAGUUGCUGAUAGGGUGCUGUAGGUGAAUGCUGCCAAAAUGAGAAAUGUCAAUUGUCAGGCUUCAUGCAUAAUAACUGUGGAGCUAUUUUUAAGCUUCUUUGAAGAUUAAAGUUAUGCCCUUUUUCCCUACAGUUCUGUCACAUAUACUUGGCAAUUCUGUUCUCCGCAAAUUCAUUUUCACUAUGCCCAGAUGUCUCUGCUUGAGAAAAUACAUACAGCUUAAAAUCUAGCAUAUUUGAAAAGUUAUUUAGAAUCUGCAGUGAUCCAUACACUGGAAGAGGACUAUAAAUGAAUAAACAAGAAGUCAAAUAUACAAACCUGGAGAGAUGAGUAAUUUUUUUGGCCAAUUUUUCCAUUGAGAUAUGUUUUAUCAGGAUGAUACAUGUUUUUAAUUUCCCAGGUCCCCAUAGGGGACAUACAUUUUCUGUUUCAUAUAACAUUUUCUGAAGAUAGAAAUAACAGAAUUCAAUAAAAUAUAUUUAAAAACAAUAAAAUGUUUCUAAAAUAGUUGUUCCCAAAUGACCUUCAAAAUGUGUCCCAGCUUGUCUCUUCAUUGUGUCUGAUUCUUCCAAAAGAAGAAGAAGUUCCCUACCUGGAGUAUUCUCUUUUGGAAGUCAAGAGUAUCUUAACAUUCAUUGAAAGAGUUACCCUCAAUUUUCAAAAAAGCAUUUA